rnacentral:rRNA from 1 species
AUUGAACGCUGGCGGCAUGCCUUACACAUGCAAGUCGAACGGUAGCAGGUUAAGCUGACGAGUGGCGAACGGGUGAGUAAUGUAUCGGAACGUGCCCAGUCGUGGGGGAUAACUGCUCGAAAGAGCAGCUAAUACCGCAUACGACCUGAGGGUGAAAGCGGGGGAUCGCAAGACCUCGCGCGAUUGGAGCGGCCGAUAUCAGAUUAGGUAGUUGGUGAGGUAAAGGCUCACCAAGCCGACGAUCUGUAGCUGGUCUGAGAGGACGACCAGCCACACUGGGACUGAGACACGGCCCAGACUCCUACGGGAGGCAGCAGUGGGGAAUUUUGGACAAUGGGCGCAAGCCUGAUCCAGCCAUGCCGCGUGCGGGAAGAAGGCCUUCGGGUUGUAAACCGCUUUUGUCAGGGAAGAAAAGGUUCUGGCUAAUACCUGGGACUCAUGACGGUACCUGAAGAAUAAGCACCGGCUAACUACGUG